rnacentral:lncRNA from 1 species
GGCCAGCUCAUCUACUGUUCAUCUUCCUCCAUCUUCAUUCCAAAUUAAAGCCUCUCUCCGAGCUUCCCAUCAGCCAUAAAUCCCUAAAUCCAACCUUCAAUCGGCCCAAAAAACCCUAGAAUCUACCAUAAAAACUUGGUAGACACUUUCUCUUGGCCGAUCCAUAAUCAAAACCCAUUCUUUCUUGAUCCUAACAGAACCCUUGAAACUCUCCUUUCAAAAAUCUUAAAUGUAGACCAUCCAUUUCUAAAUCUCUCAUUUUUCUUCAUUCCCAUUAUCUUUUCACCCUCUAUUCC